rnacentral:lncRNA from 1 species
ACUUUUCAGAUUUGAUUUAUAUAAUUGUAUAUGUUUUGAUUUAUUUAUUUAUUUAUUAUAUUCCUGAUUAUGUGAGAAAAAGCGAUUUGAUGAAAUAGAUGUUGGACAGUAGAGGAGUAGCUGAGUAUCUUCCGGAUGAGGAAUUUGGAAAACCUUCUAGCCUUCCUACCCUGNNNNNNNNNNNNNNNNNNNNNNNNNNNNNNNNNNNNNNNNNNNNGUAUUUUUCAUAUUCUUUUGUAAUUUUAAUCAAUUUUCAGUUUUUAUUACUGAAUACUUCUAAAUGUAUGGUGCUUCAAUUUAUUGUUCAUUAUUAAAGGUUAAGUGCAUCUAGGCAUUGGCAUUGUUUCUUAUCUCUGUUUGUUUACCUUUUUAUUUUAAGUCUUUUAAGUAUUUUAUUUGGUUAUCCCAAUCUUAGUUUCCCUUAUAGAACCAAGUUCACAUUAGGCCUUGAGAUUAUCCCAUGAUUUUAUUUGGUAAUCACUUAUAUUUUAUUAUUUGUUAUGUAUCAAGUUCUUAAGAUAUUGAGCAAGCCUUAUUUAGAAGUGCAGGUUAUGGAGGAAUUAUGUUUGUGAGAAUAUAUAUAAUAGAGGAAAAAGAACCUUAAGUGCACUUAGGAUUGGUUUUUUCUUCAUCGGGAUUGCUUCAAAUGACAUAUCCAUGUCCAUAAGCUUAAGUAGGCAAAAGUCAUUGGGUUUAAGAGCUCAAUAUAUAAAUAAGAAGCAACUGAGAUUAGGCACUGCUCUCACAUUUAUUCGCAAGCAAGAUCAUCACACUCUAAUUGGAAGCUAAAAAUGAAACUAUUUGGGUAGCUUUAUCAUUCUGUAAUAUUUUGAUAGUCAUGAUUUUUAUUAAUAUUUGGUAUGUUCUAAGAUCUUGCUGUUUAGUUGAGGACUACAAAAUAAGCUUGUGGUCUAGGCUACUAUUGUAGAUUUGUAGUAAUUUUAGUUCAAAUUUAAGGAAGAGAAGAGGCAUUAUGCUAAAAAUUUAAGCAAUUUGUCGGUAUGUAUGUAGUAUUUGUAGAUCUCUGUAAAACAAUAACAUUAGUAUAUAUAGAUCUAUGUAUG